rnacentral:rRNA from 1 species
UCCAGACUCCUACGGGAGGCAGCAGUGGGGAAUAUUGCACAAUGGGGGGAACCCUGAUGCAGCGACGCCGCGUGGGUGAAGGAGCGUUUCGGCGCGUAAAGCCCUAUCGGCAGGGAAGAAGGAGGACGGUACCUGACUAAGAAGCCCCGGCUAACUACGUGCCAGCAGCCGCGGUAAUACGUAGGGGGCAAGCGUUAUCCGGAUUUACUGGGUGUAAAGGGGGCGCAGACGGCAGCGCAAGCCAGGAGUGAAAGCCCGGGGCCCAACCCCGGGACUGCUCUUGGAACUGCGCGGCUGGAGUGCAGGAGGGGCAGGCGGAAUUCCUGGUGUAGCGGUGAAAUGCGUAGAUAUCAGGAGGAACACCGGUGGCGAAGGCGGCCUGCUGGACUGCGACUGACGUUGAGGCCCGAAAGCGUGGGGAGCAAACAGGAUUAGAUACCCGAGUA